CGCACACACGGAAGAGUCCGACACGACACGACACGACACGGGACCGAGACUUACGUUUUCCCCUUUCCUUCUUUUUCCCCCUUUCUUUGCUUCGCAGCAUCCAAUCAAAAACGCGCCAUUCGACAUCAGCUCUUGAGACAUUGUUUGGCGAAACAAGAAGAUGGCAUAUCCCUUUUUGUCACGUCGGUGUCUUUGCAUCUCGUUGCUGCGUGGAGGGAGAGAACGUGCAAAAAAAUGUCC
rnacentral:ribozyme from 1 species